rnacentral:lncRNA from 1 species
AGCUUAAAACCAUUGACAAGAGAAAAAAGAAUCUUCCCUAUUUUUUGAACAUAUUGGAUUAGCAUGAAAUCAAUGAAAAGAGAGUCAUGCAUACUUUCCAAGAUGAAAACCUAUGAGUUUGAGUUUCAUAGUGCAAGUGUUUUGUUUGUCAUUUUUUUAGCUGCUUUUGAUGAACAUGAAAUAUAUAAGUUGUUUGUAAAAAAU